CUUCACCGAACCCAGCCACAGCGGCCGGCCGUCGGGCCGGUUCCGGCCGUAGGUGGCCAGCAGCGCCUGCGCCUC
rnacentral:antisense_RNA from 1 species